GAUUAAUGGCUGGGGAGCUGCUUAGUAUACUGGAUUGUUACACUGGGUUUGACAGGCUGUAUCCCUACACCCUAUGAGAGCCUCACUUUGAAGGUUAAGGUCAAAUAAGUCAAUAUGGAGGAUUUCUUCAAUGAUGUUUGACACAGGGUGACACACUUUGAUACCAAAUUGUGAGUCCGACUCUUUGUCCAUCUGACGCAGUGAACGCCUCACCCGAGCUGACAGUUCGAUGCC